rnacentral:rRNA from 1 species
CCUACGGGAGGCAGCAGUGAGGAAUAUUGGUCAAUGGGCGCGAGCCUGAACCAGCCAAGUAGCGUGAAGGAUGACUGCCCUACGGGUUGUAAACUUCUUUUAUAAAGGGAUAAAGUGAUCCACGUGUGCCUUUUUGCAUGUACUGCAUGAAUAAGGAUCGGCUAAUUCCGUGCCAGCAGCCGCGGUAAUACGGAGGAUGCGAGCGUUAUCCGGAUUGAUUGGGUUUAAAGGGAGCGUAGAUGGGUUGUUAAGUCAGUUGUGAAAGUUUAAGGCUCAACCUUGAAAUUACUACUAAUACUGGCAGCCUUGAGUGCAGUUGGGGUAAGCGGAAUUCGUAGUGUAGCGGUGGAAUGCUUAGAUAUCAGGAAGAACUCCAAUUGCGAAGGCAGGUUACUAGACUGUAACUGACACUGAUGCACGAAAGUGUGGGUAGCAAACAGGAUUAGAUACCCUUGUAGUC